AGCGACGAUAUGGGCGCAUGCUUGCAUGCAAGACCAUAUCGGCAUUGUCCGGGCUAGACGGAAUGAGGAGGAAGGCCGAUAGGCCGGAGUCCGAAUGCCGUCCCGGAUUGCGGGAGCGCGAAGAGCGCAGCAAUCCGCUUUC
rnacentral:sRNA from 1 species